AGUGAACGCUGGCGGUAGGCCUAACUCAUGCAAGUCGAACGGCAGCACAGUAAGAGCUUGCUCUUACGGGUGGCGAGUGGCGGACGGGUGAGGAAUACAUCGGAAUCUACUUUUUCGUGGGGGAUAACGUAGGGAAACUUACGCUAAUACCGCAUACGACCUACGGGUGAAAGCAGGGGAUCCUCGGACCUUGCGCGAUUGAAUGAGCCGAUGUCGGAUUAGCUAGUUGGCGGGGUAAAGGCCCACCAAGGCGACGAUCCGUAGCUGGUCUGAGAGGAUGAUCAGCCACACUGGAACUGAGACACGGUCCAGACUCCUACGGGAGGCAGCAGUGGGGAAUAUUGGACAAUGGGCGCAAGCCUGAUCCAGCCAUACCGCGUGGGUGAAGAAGGCCUUCGGGUUGUAAAGCCCUUUUGUUGGGAAAGAAAAGCAGCAGGUUAAUACCCCGCUGUUCUGACGGUACCCAAAGAAUAAGCACCGGCUAACUUCGUG
rnacentral:rRNA from 1 species